rnacentral:rRNA from 1 species
UACGUAGGGUGCGAGCGUUAAUCGGAAUUACUGGGCGUAAAGCGUGCGCAGGCGGUUUUGUAAGCCAGAUGUGAAAUCCCCGGGCUUAACCUGGGAAUGGCAUUUGGGACUGCAAGGCUUGAGUGCGGCAGAGGGGACUGGAAUUCCUGGUGUAGCAGUGAAAUGCGUAGAUAUCAGGAGGAAUACCGAUGGCGAAGGCAGGUCUCUGGGCUGACACUGACGCUCAUGCACGAAAGCGUGGGGAGCGAACAGG